rnacentral:rRNA from 1 species
UACGGAGGGGGCAAGCGUUGUUCGGAAUCAUUGGGCGUAAAGAGUAUGUAGGCGGCUAUUUAAGUCAGGCGUGCAAGCCCACGGCUCAACCGUGGAAUUGCGUUUGAAACUAUUUAGCUUGAGUACAGGAGAGGAAGGCGGAAUUCCCAGUGUAGCGGUGAAAUGCAUUGAUAUCGGGAAGAACACCAGUGGCGAAGGCGCUCUGCUGGGCCAUCACUGACGCUCAUGGACGAAAGCCAGGGGAGCGAAAGGG